rnacentral:lncRNA from 1 species
UAGAACUUGAAAAGCAUGCAUACUGUUGAAUUUGAGGUAACACAAGGAAAAUAUUUGCGAUCAGAAGGUCUUUGAAGCCUAUCUCCUGCCAUUCUUAGUGCUCUGGCUUCAGCUUUCUUAUGCCAAUGAAGGAAUAAAAUCACUCCAGGAGAAAUCAUUGACUUUACAAGAAAUGUGGUGAAUUGACUGCUGGGGAAAUGGGCUCAGGAGAUUAAAGGCCUGCUUAUUAAUGGAAAGAGCUUCCUCCCACACACAGAUAUAUAAAGCCGCCUCGCCAUUUCUUCCUUCCACCGUGACCCAUAGUCUUUCUGGGACAAGGGCUGAGAUUUCACAGCCGAGUUUUAAAGUUGCUGGGGAUGCUAACAACAGGGACUUUUAUGCUUGAAUUUCUGCUGCAAAUCAUACACCCUUGGACUCAGUCCACUAAGUCUAUAGAAUUAUCUGCAAAGCAAUGCAAUAGGAUAUACAAAUUUUUUGACUAUUUGUAUCGAAAAUAAAUCAGGACCUUGAACUAUAUAAAAAGCUAACACAUUAUCAUGAAAACUCUGCAUGAAUACUGAUAAAACAUACUGGAUGCCCUUUGACUCUUACAGUCCUUGUUCUCAUCUUUUUGCUUAUAUCCAUUUCUCUUUUCAAUUAAUUUGGAAUAAUUUUGCUUGAAUAAUAAUCUGAUAGUAACUUCAUUAUUUCUAAUUAUAUUAUCUUAAUGUGCAAAUUCAAUCAUUUUUGGCUUACAUUAACAAAGAUAAAAAUGUGUGACAGAGGUUAGUAAUAGAAGGUUAGUUUUACAUGAAAUGAGGACCAGAUAAAAGACCAGUACAAUGUUAUAUAUUUAUGUCCUUCACAUGAUAGGCAGACAUCAAUCCUUGAUGUCAUGUUCAAAUAAAGGACUUAUAUAUAUGCAUAGUGACAAAGCACUAUGCAUAUGUAUAUGCAUGGGAACAAUGGAGAGAAGUUCAGUGAGAGAAUUCCCAAUUGUAUUAAUUACUACAAACAUUUAUUGAAUAAAAUGUGCAGCACUUAUAGAACAUUUUUCCUAUGGGAUAAGUUGCCAAUCCAUACUUCAUUGUUGUUGCUGUAUCAGCUCAGACUCUUUGAAGUUAGUCUUAUUUAUUCACUUUUUUAGCGGAUCUACAGGGGUUAUGUAAGUUGGCUAAACUCACUCAACUAGUAAGACAUAUACAAAGGAUGUAAACUACGUUUAUGAGGUAAGAAAGACUAUGAUUUUGCUUUUAUUACUGCGACUAGGACCCUCUGGGGAUACAAAAGCUAUGAUAAAAAAAAUUCAUUAGCCUGUGUGUCUAAUAUGGCCCUCAAAGUAGUAUUAUCAUUUGCAAUUAACUAUAACACUGAAUCGUAUUCUUCAAAUGCAAACCAUGGGCCUUGCAGAGCCUUUAUAGAUGCUCUGUGGCACAGCACUUAUUUAGUCUGUCUCUUUAAUUAACCUGAUCCAAAUGUGACAUUAAUAAAUUGUUCUUUGUGAACCGAAAAGUCGUAAUUACUCAGAAAGGACAUGCUUAAUUGUCCUUUAUCUUUAGCCUACCACUAUACACAUCCAACAAAUCAGGUCAAAAUUCUCAAUUCAAUUUCCAAAUAAUUCAUAAUAUUUUUAUUUACUAUAGCAUAACCUGGUCAGGCAUGGUGGCUCAGGCCUG